rnacentral:rRNA from 1 species
AGAGUUUGAUCAUGGCUCAGGACGAACGCUGGCGGCGCGCCUAACACAUGCAAGUCGAGCGAGAACCAGGACUUCGGUCCUGGGGAGAGCGGCGAACGGGUGCGUAACACGUGAGCAACCUGCCCCGAAGACCGGGACAACCGAUGGAAACGUCGGCUAAUACCGGAUGCCCUCACCGGAUCGCAUGGUCUGGUGAGGAAAUGGAUUCCGCUUCGGGAUGGGCUCGCGGUCUAUCAGCUUGUUGGUGGGGUAACGGCCCACCAAGGCGACGACGGAUAGCUGGUCUGAGAGGACGAUCAGCCACACUGGGACUGAGACACGGCCCAGACUCCUACGGGAGGCAGCAGUGGGGAAUCUUGCGCAAUGGGGGAAACCCUGACGCAGCGACGCCGCGUGCGGGAUGAAGGCCUUCGGGUUGUAAACCGCUUUCAGCAGGGACGAAAUUGACGGUACCUGCAGAAGAAGGCCCGGCCAACUACGUGCCAGCAGCCGCGGUA